rnacentral:misc_RNA from 1 species
AACGCACAUUGCGCCCGCCAGUAUUCUGGCGGGCAUGCCUGUUCGAGCGUCAUUUCAACCAUCAAGCGCCAGCGCUUGUGUUGGAGCCCUGCGGCUGCCGCAGGCUCCCAAACCCAGUGGCGGGCUCGUCGUCGUACCGAGUGCAGUAAACAUACCACGCUCAGGGCACGCGACGGGUGACCGGCCGUAAAACCCCCAACUUCUCCAGGUUGACCUCGGAUCAGGUAGGAAUACCCGCUGAACUUAA